rnacentral:rRNA from 1 species
GAUGAACGCUAGCUACAGGCUUAACACAUGCAAGUCGAGGGGCAGCAUGACAAAGCUUGCUUUGUUUGAUGGCGACCGGCGCACGGGUGCGUAACACGUAUCCAAUCUGCCCGCGGCUCGGGGAUAGCCCAUCGAAAGAUGGAUUAAUACCCGAUGGCGUGGUCACUCCGCAUGGGGUUUCCACUAAAGGUAUUCCGGCCGCGGAUGAGGAUGCGUAUGAUUAGGUAGUAGGCGGGGUAACGGCCCACCAAGGCGACGAUCAGUAGCCGGCCUGAGAGGGUGAACGGCCACAUUGGGACUGAGACACGGCCCAAACUCCUACGGGAGGCAGCAGUGGGGAAUAUUGGACAAUGGGGGAAACCCUGAUCCAGCGACGCCGCGUGAGUGAAGAAGUAUUUCGGUAUGUAAAGCUCUAUCAGCAGGGAAGAAAAUGACGGUACCUGACUAAGAAGCCCCGGCUAACUACGUG